CGAUUACGGCUCAGUAACACGUGGCCAACCUGCCCUUGGGACGGGAACACCCCCGGGAAACUGGGGUUAAUUCCCGAUAGGUGAAGAAGUCUGGAAUGAUUCUUCGCUCAAAAGACGUUUAUGUCAUGCUCAUAUUCGUCGCCCAGGGAUGGGGCCGCGACCGAUCAGGUAGUUGGUGAGGCAAUGGCUCACCAAGCCUUUUACCGGUGCGGGCCGUGAGAGCGGGAGCCCGGAGAUGGGCACUGAGACAAGGGCCCAGGCCCCACGGGGCGCAGCAGUCGCGAAAAUUUUGCAAUACACGAAAGUGUGACAGAGCUAUCCCGAGUGCCAUCCGCUGAGGAAGGCUUUUACCCAGUAUAAAUAGCUGGGAGAAUAAGGAGAGGGCAAGUCUGGUGUCAGCCGCCGCGGUAAUACCAGCUCUCCGAGUAGUGUGGACGUUUAUUGGGCCUAAAGCAUCCGUAGCUUGCUAGAUAAGUCCUCUGUUAAAUCCACCGAUUCAAUCGUUGGAUUGCGGGGGAUACUGUUUGGCUAGGGGACGGGAGAGGUCGACGGUAUUCCCGGGGUAGGGGUGAAAUCCUAUAAUCCCGGGAGGACCACCAGUGGCGAAGGCUG
rnacentral:rRNA from 1 species